rnacentral:rRNA from 1 species
CCUAGUCUGGGAUACCAUUUGGAAACAGAUGCUAAUACCGGAUAAAAAGCUACUUUCGCAUGAAAAGAAGUUUUAAAAAAAGGACGGCGUAAAGCUGUCGCUAAAGGAUGGACCUGCGAUGCAUUAGCUAGUUGGUAAGGUAACGGCUUACCAAGGCGAUGAUGCAUAGCCGAGUUGAGAGACUGAUCGGCCACAUUGGGACUGAGACACGGCCCAAACUCCUACGGGAGGCAGCAGUAGGGAAUCUUCCACAAUGGACGCAAGUCUGAUGGAGCAACGCCGCGUGAGUGAAGAAGGUUUUCGGAUCGUAAAGCUCUGUUGUUGGUGAAGAAGGAUAGAGGUAGUAACUGGCCUUUAUUUGACGGUAAUCAACCAGAAAGUCACGGCUAACUACGUGCCAGCAGCCGCGGUAAAU